GACAGAGGGUGCAAACGUUGUUCGGAUUUACUGGGCGUAAAGCGCGCGUAGGCGGCUGGAUAAGUCGAAUUGUGAAAGCCCCGGGCUCAACCUGGGAAUUGCAGUCGAGACUGUUCGGCUAGAGUGUGGGAGAGGGCAGUGGAAUUCCCGGUGUAGCGGUGAAAUGCGUAGAUAUCGGGAGGAACAUCAGUGGCGAAGGCGGACUGCCUGGCCCAACACUGACGCUGAGGUGCGAAAGCGUGGGUAGCAAACAGG
rnacentral:rRNA from 1 species